rnacentral:rRNA from 1 species
UACGUAGGGGGCUAGCGUUGCUCGGAAUCACUGGGCGUAAAGGGUGCGUAGGCGGGUUUUUAAGUCAGGGGUGAAAUCCUGGAGCUCAACUCCAGAACUGCCUUUGAUACUGAAGAUCUUGAGUCCGGGAGAGGUGAGUGGAACUGCGAGUGUAGAGGUGAAAUUCGUAGAUAUUCGCAAGAACACCAGUGGCGAAGGCGGCUCACUGGCCCGGUACUGACGCUGAGGCGCGAAAGCGUGGGGAGCAAACAGG